AAAAGACUUAGUCCUAACCUUACCAUUAGUUUUUGCUAAACACAUACAUGCAAGUAUCCGCGUCCCAGUGUAAAUGCCCCUAACCCCUACCGUAGGCAAGAGGAGCUGGUAUCAGGCACGCCCAUUGCAGCCCAAGACGCCUUGCUUAGCCACACCCCCACGGGUACUCAGCAGUAGUUAACAUUAAGCAAUAAGUGUAAACUUGACUUAGUUAUAGCAACACAGGGUUGGUAAAUCUUGUGCCAGCCACCGCGGUCACACAAGAGACCCAAAUUAAUCGUACGCGGCGUAAAGAGUGGACCCAUGACUAUCACAACAAUUAAGGCCGAAAUGCAGCUGAGCUGUCAUAAGCCUAAGACGCACCUAAAACCUUCCUAAAGACGACCUUAAUCCUCGUGACCAAUUAGAUUCCACGAAAGCCAGGACACAAACUGGGAUUAGAUACCCCACUAUGCCCGGCCCUAAAUCUCGAUGCUCACCCUACUAAAGCAUCCGCCUGAGAACUACGAGCACAAACGCUUAAAACUCUAAGGACUUGGCGGUGCCCCAAACCCACCUAGAGGAGCCUGUUCUAUAAUCGACAACCCACGAUACACCCGGCCACUUCUCGCCAAAACAGCCUAUAUACCGCCGUCGCCAGCUCACCUUCCCUGAGAGUGCAACAGUGAGCACAAUAACCCUAACACCGCUAGUAAGACAGGUCAAGGUAUAGCCUAUGAAGUGGAAGAAAUGGGCUACAUUUUCUAACUUAGAAAACCCCCAACCUUAACGGAAGGGAGUGUGAAAUAACUCCCGGAAGGCGGAUUUAGCAGUAAAGCGGGAUAAUAAAGCCCCCUUUAAACCGGCCCUGAGGCACGUACAUACCGCCCGUCACCCUCCUCACAAGCUUUAGACCCCAAUAAAUAAUACGCCACCCGCCAAAGAUGAGGUAAGUCGUAACAAGGUAAGUGUACCGGAAGGUGCACUUAGUACACC
rnacentral:ncRNA from 1 species